rnacentral:rRNA from 1 species
UACAGAGGCCUCGAGCGUUAGGCGGAAUCACUGGGCUUAAAGCGUGUGUAGGCGGAUCGUUAAGUGCUUUGUGAAAUCCCACGGCUUAACCGUGGAACUGCUUGGCAUACUGGCGGUCUUGAGCCACUUAGGGGCGACCGGAACAAACGGUGGAGCGGUGAAAUGCGUAGAUAUCGGGAAGAACACCCGUGGCGAAGGCGGCUCUCUGGAACGCAACUGACGCUGAGACGCGAAAGCGUGGGGAGCAAACAGG